GCAUGGAGCCGACCUUGAAAUACCACCCUUUAAUGUUUGAUGUUCUAACGUUGACCCGUAAUCCGGGUUGCGGACAGUGUCUGGUGGGUAGUUUGACUGGGGCGGUCUCCUCCUAAAGAGUAACGGAGGAGCACGAAGGUUGGCUAAUCCUGGUCGGACAUCAGGAGGUUAGUGCAAUGGCAUAAGCCAGCUUGACUGCGAGCGUGACGGCGCGAGCAGGUGCGAAAGCAGGUCAUAGUGAUCCGGUGGUUCUGAAUGGAAGGGCCAUCGCUCAACGGAUAAAAGGUACUCCGGGGAUAACAGGCUGAUACCGCCCAAGAGUUCAUAUCGACGGCGGUGUUUGGCACCUCGAUGUCGGCUCAUCACAUCCUGGGGCUGAAGUAGGUCCCAAGGGUAUGGCUGUUCGCCAUUUAAAGUGGUACGCGAGCUGGGUUUAGAACGUCGUGAGACAGUUCGGUCCCUAUCUGCCGUGGGCGCUGGAGAACUGAGGGGGGCUGCUCCUAGUACGAGAGGACCGGAGUGGACGCAUCACUGGUGUUCGGGUUGUCAUGCCAAUGGCACUGCCCGGUAGCUAAAUGCGGAAGAGAUAAGUGCUGAAAGCAUCUAAGCACGAAACUUGCCCCGAGAUGAGUUCUCCCUGACUCCUUGAGAGUCCUGAAGGAACGUUGAAGACGACGACGUUGAUAGGCCGGGUGUGUAAGCGCAGCGAUGCGUUGAGCUAACCGGUACUAAUGAACCGUGAGG
rnacentral:rRNA from 1 species